rnacentral:rRNA from 1 species
GCAGUCGACGCGUUGGCCCAUUGAUUGACGGUGCUUGCAUCUGAUUGAUUUUGCUUGCCAACGAGUGGCGGACGGGUGAGUAACACGUAGGUAACCUGCCCAGAAGUGGGGGACAACAUUUGGAAACAGAUGCUAAUACCGCAUAACAGCGUUGUUCGCAUGAACAACGCUUAAAAGAUGGCUUCUCGCUAUCACUUCUGGAUGGACCUGCGGUGCAUUAGCUUGUUGGUGGGGUAACGGCCUACCAAGGCGAUGAUGCAUAGCCGAGUUGAGAGACUGAUCGGCCACAAUGGGACUGAGACACGGCCCAUACUCCUACGGGAGGCAGCAGUAGGGAAUCUUCCACAAUGGGCGCAAGCCUGAUGGAGCAACACCGCGUGAGUGAAGAAGGGUUUCGGCUCGUAAAGCUCUGUUGUUAAAGAAGAACACGUAUGAGAGUAACUGUUCAUACGUUGACGGUAUUUAACCAGAAAGUCACGGCUAACUACGUGCCAGCAGCCGCGGUAAUACGUAGGUGGCAAGCGUUAUCCGGAUUUAUUGGGCGUAAAGAGAGUGCAGGCGGUUUUCUAAGUCUGAUGUGAAAGCCUUCGGCUUAACCGGAGAAGUGCAUCGGAAACUGGAUAACUUGAGUGCAGAAGAGGGUAGUGGAACUCCAUGUGUAGCGGUGGAAUGCGUAGAUAUAUGGAAGAACACCAGUGGCGAAGGCGGCUACCUGGUCUGCAACUGACGCUGAGACUCGAAAGCAUGGGUAGCGAACAGGAUUAGAUACCCUGGUAGUCCAUGCCGUAAACGAUGAGUGCUAGGUGUUGGAGGGUUUCCCGCCCUUCAGUGCCGGA